rnacentral:rRNA from 1 species
AAUUUUCCGCAAUGGGGGAAACCCUGACGGAGCAACGCCGCGUGAGGGAAGAAGGUCNNNGGAUCNUAAACCUUUGUCAUCGANGAANAUAAUGACGGUACUCGAGGAGGAAGCCCCGGCUAACUACGUGCCAGCAGCCGCGGUAAUACGUAGGGGGCAAGCGUUGUCCGGAAUUAUUGGGCGUAAAGGGUGCGUAGGCGGCCUUUUAAGUCAGGUGUGAAAGCCCACGGCUUAACCGUAGUUAGCAUUUGAAACUAAAAGGCUUGAGUGCAGGAGAGGAGAGUGGAAUUCCUAGUGUAGCGGUGAAAUGCGUAGAUAUUAGGAGGAACACCAGUGGCGAAGGCGACUCUCUGGACUGCAACUGACGCUGAGGCACGAAAGCGUGGGGAGCGAAC